AUUAAGUAUGUGUACCUGCUGUAAAUUUAAUAUGGACAAAAAAUAAUAUGUGGGCUUUAGGUUGGAUUGACUAAAUUUCAAGUUACCCAUAAAGAUCCCACAUACAUUG
rfam:Vigna angularis cultivar Jingnong 6 scaffold87_9, whole genome shotgun sequence.